rnacentral:rRNA from 1 species
UACAUUUAGAUACCCCUGUAGUCCCAGCCGUAAACUAUGCUCGCUAGGUGUCAGGCAUGGCGCGACCGUGCCUGGUGCCGCAGGGAAGCCGUGAAGCGAGCCACCUGGGAAGUACGGCCGCAAGGCUGAAACUUAAAGGAAUUGGCGGGGAGCACCACAACGGGUGGAGCCUGCGGUUUAAUUGGACUCAACGCCGGGAAGCUCACCGGAUAAGACAGCGGAAUGAUUGCCGGGCUGAAGACUCUGCAUGACUAGCUG